UCCUUUUCUUUAGAGUAACUGUGCUCUCCACCUAUCUCCCUGAUACCUGUUUCACUCACAGAUUGCCGGUGAGAACCGGUCUGGGCAGGUGACCCACUUCCUUCUCUGACACCUUUUUCAUUUCAUUAGGGUCCACGUCUGGGGGUAGUUGGGAGGCACGAAAGCAGGUAAUAUGUGAGACGGGACCCGUGGCGCUGUAGUUCAUAAGUUGUAAAGCUUAUGUGAAUGUCAGGAGCUACCAGCAAGGGCCUAGAUACACAGUCAGACAGCUGCCAAGACUGUUCAGCCAAGUCCCCUCUACUUCCCCAACCGAGGAAGGAACGCCAGAUUCCCAUGAGAGAGGAAGAAAUCAGCAGUUGUGAGGCAGACUCAGUAAACGGAGGCCUCUCCUGGGCAUGCCAUGGUUGCCUGCUUAGAGCUGAAAUGGGAAGGAAGGUUUGUUAUUAUAAGGUUUACUAAUCCUCGUGAUUUCCCCGAGGGAGGAUGCAUUCAUGCCACAGGCCUUCCAGAAUGUUCAUGCCCAUCUCUGAAAAUCUGAGGAAGCUUGUAAGCUGAGAAAAGGGAUGAAACACAGCUCUUCAGUGUCUCGAUUGAUGUGUUCGCCAGAGUAACAGCUUGGAGAUUAGCAGGAGGAAUGACAGGGUGCCAUCGAAUAAUCCAGCUCCUCUGACCCCUUCCUUGUGACCGAUGGCGCACAUCUGCGCGACAGUGAAAAGACCCAGGCCAGACCCUCAAGGGGCUUCCAGUCCCUAGAAGCGACAGGCAAGCAAACAGGAAGUUAAUUCUGCAGGACGCAAUUAGGUCUCCUCCCUUGGGAACGUUCGAAGACCUAAUGAAAGAGAGAGAGCACGAACAGGGGACAGGCAGAGAGAGAGAGAGAAUCCCAAGCAGGCUCCACUGUCAGCACGGAGCCUGAUGCGGGGCUCGAACUCACGAACCACGAGACCAUGCCCUGAGCCGCGAUCAAGAGCCGGACCAAACCAGGCGCUUAACCCACCUAGCCACUCAGGCACCCGGAAUAGGUAAUUUUCUGGGGAAAAGAAAAAAUGGAGAAGUUCCUCGGUUUGACAGAAUCAAAAGUAGAAACUCUAAAGUACCUCCUUCAGUUUCUGCUCGGAAACACCCUGGACAGACAGCGGUCCCCAGGCCCACUUUCCAAAGCCCCGCGCCCCCCACCCCCCUGUGUUUCCAUUUUCCCCACAGCGUUUCACACCAUCUGAUAUGACAUAUGCCUAAUUGCUUACUUGUUUCCCUUCCUCUCUCCCCACUGGAAUAUGAGCUUCCU